rnacentral:rRNA from 1 species
CCUCCUUUUUCUCGCUUUUUUCGGAAUCACUGGGCGUAAAGGGCGCGUAGGCGGCUUUGUAAGUCGGGGGUGAAAGCCUGUGGCUCAACCACAGAAUUGCCUUCGAUACUGCAUGGCUUGAGACCGGAAGAGGUAAGUGGAACUGCGAGUGUAGAGGUGAAAUUCGUAGAUAUUGGGUGGAACACCGGUGGCGAAAGCGGCUCUCUGGUCCGGACCUGACGCUGAGGCGCGAAAGCGUGGGGAGCAAACAGGA